AUUGAACGCUGGCGGCAGGCCUAACACAUGCAAGUCGAGCGGAUGAAGGGAGCUUGCUCCUGGAUUCAGCGGCGGACGGGUGAGUAAUGCCUAGGAAUCUGCCUGGUAGUGGGGGAUAACGUCCGGAAACGGGCGCUAAUACCGCAUACGUCCUGAGGGAGAAAGUGGGGGAUCUUCGGACCUCACGCUAUCAGAUGAGCCUAGGUCGGAUUAGCUAGUUGGUGGGGUAAAGGCCUACCAAGGCGACGAUCCGUAACUGGUCUGAGAGGAUGAUCAGUCACACUGGAACUGAGACACGGUCCAGACUCCUACGGGAGGCAGAAGUGGGGAAUAUUGGAAAAUGGGCGAAAGCCUGAUCAAGCCAUGCCGCGUGUGUGAAGAAGGUCUUCGGAUUGUAAAGCACUUUAAGUUGGGAGGAAGGGCAGUAAGUUAAUACCUUGCUGGUUUGACGGUACCAACAGAAUAAGCACCGGCUAACUUCGUG
rnacentral:rRNA from 1 species